GUAGUGAGCCAGAUCCGAAGUGACAUCUCUGCACUGCCCAGGAGCUCCUGAAGGUUAAAGUGUGUGUCUCUAUUUCACUGUGGAGGCCAUACAAUGCAGAGGUGACAGAUCGACUGUAUAAGUCGCCUAGGGGGAGUAGAGCCUGGGAGACGGACUCCCCUGGAGCUAGCUUAUCACUAGUGUUUAAUAUUGUGACUCGCUGAACCCCUCACCAGAAAUUCUCAAGUCUUAGAAGCCGAAAAAUAUCUGGCAAGAAUACUAGACAGAACCGCUCCAAGGUCGGACUAGAUACGGAAUAGGACCCCUUCCAAAAAUUUAAGACAAAUCAUUCUUAUUGCCGGUGGCCCAGAGGAACCCAUCAUGGCGAUGCCCCCUAAACGAUGUGCGGUGGAGGCCACAGGGGAGAAAGUGCUGAGCUACGAGGCCUUCAUCAGUGAUGUGCUACAGCGGGACUUGCGAAAGGUACUGGACCAUCGAGACCAGGUAUAUGAGCAGCUGGCCAAAUACCUUCAACUGAAAAAUGUCAUUGAGCGACUCCAGGAAGCUAAGCACUCGGAGUUAUAUAUGCAGGUGGAUUUGGGCUGUAACUUCUUCGUUGACACAGUGGUCCCAGAUACUUCACGCAUCUACGUGGCCCUGGGAUAUGGUUUUUUCCUGGAGUUGACAUUAGCAGAAGCCCUCAAGUUCAUUGAUCGUAAGAGUUCUCUCCUCACAGAGCUCAGCAACAGCCUCACCAAGGAAUCCAUGAAUAUCAAAGCCCAUAUCCACAUAUUGCUAGAGGGGCUUAGAGAACUACAAGGCCUGCAGAAUGACCCAGAGAAGCCUCAACAUUGACUUCUUCACCCCCACACCCUCCAACAUUAAAAAGCCUGAAUGCCUUUG